AGCGAACGCUGGCGGCAGGCCUAACACAUGCAAGUCAAACGAAGUCUUCGGACUUAGUGGCGGACGGGUGAGUAACACGUGGGAACGUGCCUUUAGGUUCGGAAUAACUCAGGGAAACUCGUGCUAAUACCGAAUGUGCCCUUCGGGGGAAAGAUUUAUCGCCUUUAGAGCGGCCCGCGUCUGAUUAGCUAGUUGGUGAGGUAAUGGCUCACCAAGGCUACGAUCAGUAGCUGGUCUGAGAGGAUGACCAGCCACAUUGGGACUGAGACACGGCCCAAACUCCUACGGGAGGCAGCAGUGGGGAAUCUUGCGCAAUGGGCGAAAGCCUGACGCAGCCAUGCCGCGUGGAUGAUGAAGGUCUUAGGAUUGUAAAAUCCUUUCACCGGUGAAGAUAAUGACUGUAGCCGGAGAAGAAGCCCCGGCUAACUUCGUGCCAGCCGCCGCCGUAAUAC
rnacentral:rRNA from 1 species